rnacentral:rRNA from 1 species
GCGUAGGCAUCUAUCCUCAGGUGGGGGACAACCGUGGGAAACUACGGCUAAUACCGCAUGACGACUGAGGUCCAAAGCCCUUUGGGGCGCCUGGGGCGGAGCCUGCGUCCGAUUAGCUUGUUGGUGGGGUAAAGGCCUACCAAGGCGAUGAUCGGUAGCUGGUCUGAGAGGAUGAUCAGCCACACUGGGACUGAGACACGGCCCAGACUCCUACGGGAGGCAGCAGUGGGGAAUAUUGGACAAUGGGCGCAAGCCUGAUCCAGCAAUGCCGCGUGGGUGAAGAAGGUCUUCGGAUUGUAA